ensembl:snoRNA small nucleolar RNA SNORA4
UCACCAUGUACUAAGCUAAAAUCAGAAUGGAUCAAAGAUCUUAAUAUUUGGCUGUUUGGGAGACUAAAUGACCACACUUCACAGUGAACUAUACCACUCUGUAUAGUUCAUUACCAUUUUGUGGCUAAAUC